rnacentral:tRNA from 1 species
GCGGGCAUAGCUCAGACGGCAGAGCGCGACGUUGCCAUCGUCGAGGCCGCGGUUUCGAUCACCGCUGCCCGCACCA